AACGAACGCUGGCGGCAGGCUUAACACAUGCAAGUCGAGCGCCCCGCAAGGGGAGCGGCAGACGGGUGAGUAACGCGUGGGAAUCUACCCAUCUCUACGGAAUAACGCAUGGAAACGUGUGCUAAUACCGUAUACGUCCUUCGGGAGAACGAUUUAUCGGAGCUGGAUGAGCCCGCGUUGGAUUAGCUAGUUGGUGGGGUAAAGGCAUACCAAGGCGACGAUCCAUAGCUGGUCUGAGAGGAUGCUCAGCCACACUGGAACUGAGACACGGCCCAGACACCUACGGGAGGCAGCAGUGGGGGAUAUUGGACAAUGGGCGCAAGCUUGAUCCAGCCAUGCCGCGUGAGUGAUGAAGGCCCUAGGGUUGUAAAGCUCUUUCACCGGUGAAGAUCAUGACGGUAACCGGAGAAGAAGCCCCGGCUAACUUCGUGCCAGCCGCCGCAGUAAAAC
rnacentral:rRNA from 1 species